GGAGGGUUGGCCGAGUGGUUUAAGGCGCUGGUCUUGAAAACCAGUGUGGGGCAACUCACCGGGAGUUCGAAUCUCUCACCCUCCG
rnacentral:tRNA from 1 species